rnacentral:rRNA from 1 species
AGUGAACGCUGGCGGUAGGCCUAACACAUGCAAGUCGAACGGCAGCACAGUAAGAGCUUGCUCUUACGGGUGGCGAGUGGCGGACGGGUGAGGAAUACAUCGGAAUCUACUUUUUCGUGGGGGAUAACGUAGGGAAACUUACGCUAAUACCGCAUACGACCUACCGGUGAAAGCAGGGGAUCUUCGGACCUUUCGCGAUUGAAUGAGCCGAUGUCGGAUUAGCUAGUUGGCGGGGUAAAGGCCCACCAAGGCGACGAUCCGUAGCUUGUCUGAGAGGAUGAUCAGCCACACUGGAACUGAGACACGGUCCAGACUCCUACGGGAGGCAGCAGUGGGGAAUAUUGGACAAUGGGCGCAAGCCUGAUCCAGCCAUACCGCGUGGGUGAAGAAGGCCUUCGGGUUGUAAAGCCCUUUUGUUGGGAAAGAACAGCAGCAGGUUAAUACCCCGCUGUUCUGACGGUACCCAAAGAAUAAGCACCGGCUAACUUCGUG